UUUAUUUUCUGCAUAAACAUGUAUCACUUAUAUAAUGCAGAAAGGCAUUUAAAAGUAACCCAUGUCUUACCCGAUCAGAGAUGCUGAGAGGCGAUAAGCUGGACCUGGAGCUGGUGUUGUGAAAGCAGAAGCGGCUCUCCAGGAGAAACAGAGAUGCUUGCAGCCGGGUCAGGUCUUGCCUCCGCUCCAUCAUGGCCUCCCCACGGUCCACUGCAGCCAGACCCAGCUGGGGCCGCUACCCUCUGGGGAGCAGAAUCCGGAGGGAGUUCAGAAUCUGGAAGGAAAGAGAAGACAGGAACAUGAGUAAAGAUGGUUUGAGUCCAAGGGCAUUACUCCGACACUCUCCAGGGAUCACCCUCAACAGCAGGAGUCCCAGCCCCUCUGGCCCAGCUAGUCAGAGUCAGAGCCGAGAGGAAUCAGAGCUGUGUCGUGAUAGCAACGAUGAUGCUGAUGCAGGCCUCGCGUGCAGUACUGUGAGGACCUGCUCGUGAGGCUGUCUGUCUUGCUUCUCUUGGCAUCUCUGUGGUCUCAUCACAUCAACGCUGACCUGUGGGUGCUGAGGCGCAUGCAGCCAAGUCACUCCCAUCCCCCCAAGCGACCACCAGCCAACACCAGUCACGAGUCCACUGACCAUCAGCUGGCUUCAGAUGCUGGUGAAACUCAGCCAAAACCGGCAGGAGAACCGCCCAGCUGAGCCUAAACUAACUGCCAACCCACAGAAUCAUGGGCUAAAUAAAUGGUUAAGCCGUGAGAUUUUGUGGUGGUUUGUUACACGGCUGUAGCUAAUCGAUAACCAGCUUAUCACCCUAUUUCUACUAGCUCACGUCAGAGAGGUCUCAGCACACUCUCCUUCCAAAAUAAAUGGAGAAGAUAUAACUACUGCUUAUGUUUCCUUGUUACUUUACAGCUGUGAUAAGCUGAUGUACUUCAAAGAGCUCUAAGCAUCUGAGUUCCCAUGACGUUGAUCUAAAAGGACAUGAAAACCAGUGGUGUUCAUUUAUCUUAACUCCACCAAGAGGCUGCCU
ensembl:lncRNA